rnacentral:miRNA from 1 species
UACGUGUAUAUAUAAAUAUAGUGUGUGUGUGUGUGUGUGUGUGUAUAUAUAUAUUUACACACACACACACACACACACACACACACACACCUUAUAUAUGUAUCUU